GCUUUCAAGAGAGACACUGCAAACAACCACAUCUAUUCACAGAGGGAGAGUGACAUUUCUUCUUUCUUUGAGGGACAAGUGCCUGCCUCGUUACUUUCUGCCCCUGACAUUGUAGCUGCUGGUGAAUGUGUGGAGACAGGAAGUGCUUACUUGGCACAGAGGUCCUGUGACUAGUGCUAUUGUCCAGCUGGAUGGAUGGUUCUCUUUCAGCCUCUCCAAGACACCCUGAGUUCCUUUGCUCUCCUGUCUCUCUCACCAUCUGAUGUUCUGUAUCUUUUGGGAACUCUCCCACCAAGAAACCAAUCACCAGAUGCAGCCUGACACUGGAUGAGAACCGUGGAGAAAUUGAAGCUUAUAGAAACUAGCUCGGCAUACCUGUCUAGUGUUUUGCUUCAGGACCAGUUUUGCCCUUGAUUAUCGCAUGAUGGGAUAGAUGGACUGUUUGAGAUCUGUAAGCAUUCUAGAGUGCACUUGAUGAGGAAGUGAGUAUCUGUCACUGUAUUAUGUAGCUUAUUUGACCAUCUGUCAAGGUCAUGUAUCAGAGAAGACUGGAAAAGACUUGGAUGAGAAACCUCUAAUGUCUUCUAUCAACUUUAAAACUUUAAUUUAUUGUCUAGACACAUGCUGAGGUGACAGAAUGAUAUGGUCCUUCCCCUUUCUUGGUAUUUUCCUUGUUUUCUUUUCCUUUAAAGCAGAUGGUUUUUAUGGUGCUGACUGCCUCAGGAGAAAGACACUCAGCAAUCAGAAAUCUUCCUUCCUUCAGCUUUUCUGUUGCAAAAUGUCAGUACUUUCAAGGGAAAACGGGGAGCUUAUGGCAUAGACAAAACAUGCAAGCAGAAGAUCAAAGCAGUUUCUGGACAAAUAUGAUAAUGUACUUGGACUUUUGAGAAAAUACUGCUGACCUUGAGUUCAAUGAAUGGGGCAUGGAGAACUUAGUGUCGAGCAAGGUGCCUCCCACUCUAGGGAUAGAGGCACCUUACUAGUUAAGUAAGUCACAUGGAGGAAAGCUGAUUUGAAAACGAGGUGAGGGUCUUGAGAAUACAAAACAUAUCUGUUCAGAUAAAACCCUGGGAGACAUUAAAUCUCAGCAUGACAUGGUCUGGUGGGACUAUCCAGGGCACACAGGGAGAAAGAGUAUCAGAAAAUGCCAGGGUACAAGAGACAUUCCCUACUUGGAUGUGUUGUCUCAAGAUAGAAAUUAUUCAAAAGGUGAUAAUAAUGGCUCAGAAUUUUAUUCUGAGACCUGAAGGCUAAUCAAGCCACUGUUUGAAGAUUUCAUUUCACCUUGUCACCUUGCUUAUUUCCUGCCAUCCCCCAUUAAUUGAAAUCUAAACACACUUUGCUCCAAUGAGGAUUGUUUAAGGUAAAUGUUUUGAAUAGUCCAACUCUGUCCUUCAUAGGGUUAACUUGCUCAUUUUGAGAGAUCAUCCUCAUCUAUUCCCAUCAAUUAUUUUAAACACCCAAAAGAGCACCAAACAAACUAACAAAAGCAAAAUCCUCAAGAAAUACUUUCUUAUAUUUGAGUCUGACAUGAAUGGAUCUCUUCUGUCUCCCUGAAGAGUGGAGAAGUGGUAGGUACCAUCGUUCCAAUCCCCUUUCUAAUGCCAUUCUUUACCCAUAGCUUGGACAGAUAGUCUCAUAGCAAGUGGGCUUCUUCUGAAGCAGUAUUAUAGAGUGAGAGAUUUAAGAGGAAAUGGCCUGUGAAUGAUAGAGAACAAGUAAGAGAGACAGGCAGGGGGAAGCUCACUUCAAAAGAGCAGUUUGAUGCUUCAGCGAGGAGACACAGAAUGAGGGUUAGGUGGAGGGAUUCUGGAAUUCUCUGAAGUUCUGAACAAAGGUUGAGCAUGAGGCUCAGCAACGGCAGAGUGUUGGGCUUCCUGACGAAGAAAAUAGCCCUUCGAACAGCAUCACUGUGCUCAGUGAUAAGCUUGGCGAAGCCCGGGAGAGGAUAUUGACAGGAGGUUGGGCUUGGUCCUGAGGGACCUGUAACUGCAGGAUAUCCACCAGAAGACUUCCUCAAAUCAGGUGCUGUUCUUGGAAGAGGAUUGGAGUGGUACACCACCAUGGCUUUCAAAGUUACCGCUGUUUACUUUUAAGCUAUAAUUCUUAUGUUUUUAUGGAUAUUGAUUUAGACUGGUUUCAUAAUUUCUCAAGAUGAAAAAUUGUAAAAUGGUUUGGGAAGAGAAAUAUAAAUAAGACUUGCCUGACUUAAAUUAUCUAGCAAGUUAUCUUCUGAGAAGCUCUACCCAGCUGUUGACUCAGACAGAUACAGACUCCCACAGCCAAACAGUGGAUGGAGCUUAGAGACUCUUAUGGAAGAAUAGGAGGAAGGAUUGCAGGCAUGGAAACGGACAGGAAUUCCACAGGAAGAGCAAGAAAGACAACUAACCUGGACUCUCAGAGUCUGAACCACCAACUGAAGAACAUUCACGGGCUGGACCUAUGCCUCUCCACACAUACAUAGCAGAUGUGCAGCUUGGUCUUCAUGUGGGUCUCCCAACAACUGGAGCAGGGCAAAAGCUGUUGCCUUUAGGUGGGAUAUGUUCUUCUAGCU
rnacentral:lncRNA from 1 species